UGCAGAAUCCCGUGAACCAUCGAGUUUUUGAACGCAAGUUGCGCCCGAGGCCUUUGGCUGAGGGCACGUCUGCCUGGGCGUCACGCAUCGCAACCCCCCAACCCACUCUACGUGUGAAGGGGAGGAAGUUGGCUUCCCGUGCCUCACCGGGCGCGGUUGGCCUAAAUUUGGAGCCUAAGGCAUUGGGUUGCCGCGGCGAUAGGUGGUGAACAAGGCCUCGGCCGUGCCAACAACCGGUCGCGCAACCCUUUGACAGUACGUGCUCGUAGGACCCAAUGAUGUUGCCUCGUUGCGACACAAACGUUGCGACCCCAGGUCAGGCGGGGCUACCCGCUGAAUUUAAGCAUAUCAAUAA
rnacentral:misc_RNA from 1 species